rnacentral:rRNA from 1 species
GACGAACGCUGGCGGCGCGCUUAACACAUGCAAGUCGAGCGAGAACCAGACCUUCGGGUCUGGGGACAGCGGCGAACGGGUGAGUAACACGUGGGUAAUCAACCCUCGGUACUGGGAUAGCCCGGGGAAACCCGGAUUAAUACCGGAUGGCCCUUCGGAUCUUCGGUUCUGAAGGAAAAGGUAGCUUCGGCCUCCGACCGAGGACGAGCCCGCGGCGGAUUAGCUUGUUGGUGGGGUAACGGCCUACCAAGGCGACGAUCUGUAGCCGGUCUGAGAGGACGAUCAGCCACACUGGGACUGAGACACGGCCCAGACUCCUACGGGAGGCAGCAGUGGGGAAUCUUGCGCUAAUGCGGGAAACCGUGACGCAGCGACGCCGCGUGGGGGAAGAAGGCCUUCGGGUUGUAAACCUCUUUCAGGAGGGACGAAGCUACUCGGGUUAAUAGCCCAGAGGGUGACGGUACCUCCAGAAGAAGCCCCGGCUAACUACGUGCCAGCAGCCGCCGUAAUAC